UCCCCGAAGUUUUAUUAUAAGUGGGUCUUAUGUGAGAGCUAACUGUAAAGUUCGAGGACGAACUUUGUUUUUAGGAGGAGUGGAUGUAAUAUCCCGAACUUUCGGGUAUUUUUUAAGAAACUAUUUUGGUAACUUAAGAUAAUUUUACAAUUUUAAAAUAAAAGUUUUAAUGAGUUUAAAAAAAAAAAAGUAUAUUUUAGAUUGUUUUAUAAAGGUUCUGAAAUUUAGUCUCCUAAUUAAACCCUAAUCACCGUAUGUUAUAUAUACUCCCACAAACCUCAAAAUUCAUGCCGUGUAAAUCGACUCCUAAUAAACCCCCGCCUCUCAAAACACAGCCGUCGUCAUCACCGUAUCAUCAUCAUCAUCAACCUCUCCUCGGCAGAGGGAGACUAUUUAGGAAAUAACGCAAAGAGACUACUAGUUCAAAGUACGCGUGUGUCCAAGGUUGGUAAAGGUAUUUGGCUAUGAGUGAGGAGACGCUUAGAAUAACCACCUAGUCAAGAGACAAUUUCUAUUCCAGUCUAAGUUGGAUUUUGUUAUUUAUUUUAUUGGGAUUAAUUGGUUGUAAUAUUUUAUUGGCCACCUUUAGACCACUUAGUUAAUUUUGACUUUAA